rnacentral:rRNA from 1 species
GACGAACGCUGGCGGCGUGCUUAACACAUGCAAGUCGAACGGAAAGGCCCUGCUUUUGUGGGGUGCUCGAGUGGCGAACGGGUAAGUAACACGUGAGUAACCUGCCCUUGACUUUGGGAUAACUUCAGGAAACUAGGGCUAAUACCGGAUAGGAGCUCCUGCUGCAUGGUGGGGGUUGGAAAGUUUAGGCGGUUGUGGAUGGACUCGCGGCUUAUCAGCUUGUUGGUGGGGUAGGGGCUUACCCAGGGUUUGACGGGUAGGCGGCACGGGAGGGUGACCGGCCACAAUGGGACUGAGAGACGGACCAGACGGGAACAGGAGGCAGCAGGGGGGAACAUGGCACAAUGGGCGGAAGCCGGAGGCAGCAACGCCGGGUGCGGGAUGACGGCCUUCGGGGUGUAAACCGCUUUCGCAUGUGACGAAGCGGGAGUGACGGUACUGGAUAAAGAAGCACCGGCUAACUACGUG